GGGGCUGUAGCUCAGUGGCAGAGUGCUUGCCUAAAGCAUGUGUGAGCCAUUGGGUUCAAUCCUCAGCAUCA
rnacentral:tRNA from 1 species